CAGCCGCCACGGUAAUACGGAGGGCGCGAGCGUUACCCGGAUUUACUGGGCGUAAAGGGCGUGUAGGCGGCCUGGGGCGUCCCAUGUGAAAGGCCACGGCUCAACCGUGGAGGAGCGUGGGAUACGCUCAGGCUAGAGGGUGGGAGAGGGUGGUGGAAUCCCCGGAGUAGCGGUGAAAUGCGCAGAUACCGGGGGAAGCGCCGAUGGCGAAGGCAGCCACCUGGUCCACUUCUGACGCUGAGGCGCGAAAGCGUGGGGAGCAAACCGGAUUAGAUACCCCAGUAGUCCCUGUCUCUUAUAC
rnacentral:rRNA from 1 species